ACGCUCGACACCUACGGGAGGCAGCAGUGGGGAAUAUUGCACAAUGGGGAAACCCUGAUGCAGCAACGCCGCGUGAAGGAAGACGGUUUUCGGAUUGUAAACUUCUGUUCUUAGUGAAGAUAGUGACGGUAGCUAAGGAGCAAGCCACGGCUAACUACGUGCCCGCAGCCGCGGUAAUCUGAGCGGGCUGGCAAGGC
rnacentral:rRNA from 1 species